AUUAUAUACAGAAGACAAAGAAGAAGCUGCUGAACUGGAUGAUGAAGCUCAUGAUGAAUUAACGCUUUGUAAGCAUGUGAGUCAGCAUGGAGACCUGCUCAACUUCAUGUGGAGAAACGUCAAGAUCUUUGGAACAAGUCACUGCUUUGGACCAACUCCAAGGAUUCCUGAAGAUGCCCAUAAAAAAGGAAGAACUUGAUGAUGAAGAUCACCUGAAUGGCGGGACAGCAAGCUCUGUGGAACAUGUCACUCCUGUGGGCCACCA